AUGGUUAAGCUAAUAAGAGCACACGGAGGAUGCCUAGGCGCCAGGAGCCGACGAAGGACGUGGCGAACAACGAAACUGCCUCGGGGAGCUGUAAGCAAGCUUUGAUCCGGGGGUGUCCGAAUGGGGAAACCCAGCUGUGGUAAUUCGCAGUUACUCAUACCUGAAUACAUAGGGUGUGCAGAGGCAGACCAGGGGAACUGAAACAUCUAAGUACCCUGAGGAAGAGAAAACAAUAGUGAUUCCGUCAGUAGCGGCGAGCGAACGCGGAACAGCCUAAACCAAGGGGCUUGCCCCUUGGGGUUGUGGGACGUCUCACAUGGAGUUACAAAGGAAUAUGGUAGGUGAAGAGGUCUGGAAAGGCCCGCGAUAGAGGUAAAAGCCCUGUAACCUAAACUGUGUUCUCUCCGAGACGGAUCCCGAGUAGUGCGGGGCACGUGAAACCCCGUAUGAAUCCAGCAGGACCAUCUGCUAAGGCUAA
rnacentral:rRNA from 1 species